rnacentral:tRNA from 1 species
GCUCCUGUAGCUCAAUCGGCAGAGCACCCGCCUUGUAAGCGGAAGGUUCUCGGUUCAAUUCCGAGCAGGAGCUCCA